rnacentral:rRNA from 1 species
AGUGAACGCUGGCGGUAGGCCUAACACAUGCAAGUCGAACGGCAGCACAGUAAGAGCUUGCUCUUACGGGUGGCGAGUGGCGGACGGGUGAGGAAUACAUCGGAAUCUACUUUUUCGUGGGGGAUAACGUAGGGAAACUUACGCUAAUACCGCAUACGACCUACGGGUGAAAGCAGGGGAUCUUCUGACCUUGCGCGAUUGAAUGAGCCGAUGUCGGAUUAGCUAGUUGGCGGGGUAAAGGCCCACCAAGGCGACGAUACGUAGCUGGUCUGAGAGGAUGAUCAGCCACACUGGAACUGAGACACGGUCCAGACUCCUACGGGAGGCAGCAGUGGGGAAUAUUGGACAAUGGGCGCAAGCCUGAUCCAGCCAUCCCGCGUGGGUGAAGAAGGCCUUCGGGUUGUAAAGCCCUUUUGUUGGGAAAGAAAAGCAGCAGGUUAAUACCCCGCUGUUCUGACGGUACCCAAAGAAUAAGCACCGGCUAACUUCGUG